UUGCGGGUUGGCCGGCGGCCCGCCGAGUG
rnacentral:sRNA from 1 species